UACGUAUGGGGCAAGCGUUAUCCGGGUUUACUGGGUGUAAAGGGAGCGUAGGCGGCCUGGCAAGCCUGAUGUGAAAUACCGGGGCCCAACCCCGGGGCUGCAUUGGGAACUGCCAGGCUGGAGUGCCGGAGAGGCAGGCGGAAUUCCUAGUGUAGCGGUGAAAUGCGUAGAUAUUAGGAGGAACACCAGUGGCGAAGGCGGCCUGCUGGACGGUGACUGACGCUGAGGCUCGAAAGCGUGGGGAGCAAACAGG
rnacentral:rRNA from 1 species